rnacentral:rRNA from 1 species
CGUGUAGGCGGUUCCGUAAGUCAGACGUGAAAGCUCCCGGCUUAACUGGGAGAGGUCGUUUGAUACUGCGGGACUUGAGGUUGGGAGAGGGACGUGGAAUUCCCGGUGUAGUGGUGGAAUGCGUAGAGAUCGGGAGGAACACCAGUGGCGAAGGCGGCGUCCUGGCCCACACCUGACGCUAAGACGCGAAAGCGUGGGGAGCAAACG